rnacentral:rRNA from 1 species
GACGAACGCUGGCGGCGUGCUUAACACAUGCAAGUCGAGCGGUAAGGCCCUUUCGGGGGUACACGAGCGGCGAACGGGUGAGUAACACGUGGGUGACCUGCCCUCAGCUCUGGGAUAAGCCUGGGAAACCGGGUCUAAUACCGGAUAUGACUCCAUGACGCAUGUUGUGGGGUGGAAAGCCUUGUGCGGCUGAGGAUGGGCCCGCGGCCUAUCAGCUUGUUGGUGGGGUGAUGGCCUACCAAGGCGACGACGGUAGCCGGCCUGAGAGGGCGACCGGCCACACUGGGACUGAGACACGGCCCAGACUCCUACGGGAGGCAGCAGUGGGGAAUCUUGCGCAAUGGGCGAAAGCCUGACGCAGCGACGCCGCGUGAGGGAUGACGGCCUGGU